GACGGGAGGUGCAAGCGUUACUCGGAAUUACUGGGCGUAAAGCGUCCGCAGGUGUCCUGCCACGUCUGGGGUAAAAGCACGGAGCUCGACUCCGUGUCCGUCCUGGAAACGAGUAGGAUUGAGUCACUCAGAGGCAUCUGGAAUGUCGCGUGUAGGGGUAAAAUCCGUUGAUCCGCGAUGGAACGCCAAAAGCGAAAGCAGGAUGCUGGGGGUGCACUGACACUCAGGGACGAAAGCGUGGGGAGCAAACGGG
rnacentral:misc_RNA from 1 species